rnacentral:lncRNA from 1 species
GGAUUCAUUUAUCCGUUUAUUUACUGAUUAAGAAAUAAUUUAAAUUUUGAAAUCACUUUAUUAUUCCUAUGUUAAAGUUAAUUAGUUUUUUUUUUUCUUUUUUUUUUUGAAAAGUAUACUACUCAUUAUCCAAAUUCCAACCGAUUUUAUUACUUAUCACUCAUUAUCCCAAUUCUAAACUUGUUUGACUAUCCUUUGUUUAUCUUACAA